UCUUGUUUAAUGCCUUUAUAUUUCCUUGCUUCUUAUGAGGCUCUCAUUUCUUUUUGCGAGCGUGGACAAUCUAUUCCAUAAUGUUCAUCCCUCAAUGUCUCACACGCCAUCUCCAGUCUGGUCUUCGGUCUGCUACAGCGCCUAGCUCUGAUACUUAUCUGAGUAUGGCCCUCUUCCCUCCUUUUCGGCAUGAGUGAGUAGUGGUUCCCUGAGAGACCAUGGAUGUGGUAUACAAGCCUGAGUGCCACAUCUUUUAAGUGUGAAUGCUUAUUCUUCAGUACAGAGCCACUGUAAGAUCAUAUUAUUUCUCUUACAAGAUGAGACAAUCAUGUAUAUUCUUUGUGCAUAAUAUGAAAAUGUACAAAUAGAAAAGUGAAAAAAUACUGGAAAUGAGAAAAAAAUACAAGGGUCAUGAAAUGGAG